rnacentral:rRNA from 1 species
GAUGAACGCUGGCGGCGUGCCUAAUACAUGCAAGUCGAACGCAUAGCGAAAGGUGCUUGCACCUUUCAGGUGAGUGGCGAACGGGUGAGUAACACGUGGACAACCUGCCUCAAGGCUGGGGAUAACAUUUGGAAACAGAUGCUAAUACGGAAUAAAACUUAGUGUCGCAUGACACAAAGUUAAAAGGCGCUUCGGCGUCACCUAGAGAUGGAUCCGCGGUGCAUUAGUUAGUUGGUGGGGUAAAGGCCUACCAAGACAAUGAUGCAUAGCCGAGUUGAGAGACUGAUCGGCCACAUUGGGACUGAGACACGGCCCAAACUCCUACGGGAGGCUGCAGUAGGGAAUCUUCCACAAUGGGCGAAAGCCUGAUGGAGCAACGCCGCGUGUGUGAUGAAGGCUUUCGGGUCGUAAAGCACUGUUGUAUGGGAAGAACAGCUAGAAUAGGAAAUGAUUUUAGUUUGACGGUGCCAUACCAGAAAGGGACGGCUAAAUACGUG